rnacentral:misc_RNA from 1 species
AACGCACAUUGCGCCCCGUGGUAUUCCGCGGGGCAUGCCUGUUCGAGCGUCAUUUAAACCAAUCCAGCUUGCUGGGUCUUGGGCUUUCGCCUCCGGGCGGGCCUCAAAAUCAGUGGCGGCGCCAUCCGGCUCUAAGCGUAGUAAUACUUCUCGCUACAGGGCUCCGGGCGGAAGCUGGCCAACUCAACCCCCAAUUUUCAAAGGUUGACCUCGGAUCAGGUAGGGAUACCCGCUGAACUUAA